rnacentral:lncRNA from 1 species
UAGAUGUCAAUUCUUUAAGAAAGAGAAGAAGAACAAGAAGAAUAAGAAGAAGAUGCAAAGUGCUGGGGCACCCAAGCCCAAUUAGACUAAAAAACCUAAGUCCAAUUAGAGUCAGGCAGAAUGCUUUUGCUGCAAGAAGUAGAGAGACUGGAAGAGGAAUUAUCUCUGGUACAUUGCCUCUCUGGAUCCGAACAAGUCAAGAAAGAAGCAAGUUAUUGCUGGACAAGAUAAUUAUAUGAUAACAUCUUAUCAUUUCUCAAUUUGUGAUUCUACUACCUGCAUAUUAGAUAUCGAAAGCCCUUUUAAUAUUUAUAAUUCAUUGCAGGGUCCACA